UGAGGUAGAACAAUCAUUUGUAGGAAAGCAAACUAGGGUUUCAUUUUAAAAUUCAAUAUCUAUAUAUAAAGUGCAAAAAUUCAGGCCCAAUAACGAUAAAUAUGGUUGCCUACUGUUGUUUGGAGGAUCAUCUGACAAGAUUCAAGAAUGUCUGAAUUUGGUAUUGCUUCUUAUUAUAGGAUAUAAGGCUCUAUUUAGUUCAUCAUAGAGACCGUUAUUGGAUCAUGGGUUCACAGGAUCCUGUUCCGGUGGCUGACAAGGCUAAUGUAACGGAGACCUCAGUGCGUGGGGCUUGUCCUAGAAAAAAGAUACACAGGAAAAUUCCUUAGAGAAUCCACAAGGCUGAGAGUGAGAAAUAUAAGCGUGUGUCAUUUUUCUUGAGCUGGCUGAUGCUCCUUGUGACACAUGAGAAGAAUGAGCUCAGAGAGGAUAAUUCUGCUGACAGUCUCCUGCUGAUGAUGGCCAAUGGCUUACUUAUCUUUGCCAAAGCCAUUGAGCAAACAAAGGGUGCUUACUUGUAAAUUAUGAUGCUUCCGUGAGUUUUUCUUCAAUAUCACCCACCAAUCAUCAUAGUUUGUUUGAAGCUUCAAUGCUGUCAGUCUCACUGAAAGUUGGAUAUCAAAUGUAUGGGUAGUAAUAAUGCUUUGCAGUAGUAAGUUGCAGGAGAGAAAAAUGUAGUGCAUGUAUAAAAUUUAUAAAACGCCCCUAGUGUCACAUGUACUUGUAUUAAUAUUGCAGUUUGCAAAACAAUUU